rnacentral:rRNA from 1 species
GACGAACGCUGGCGGCGUGCCUAAUACAUGCAAGUAGAACGCACAGUUUAUACCGUAGCUUGCUACACCAUAAACUGUGAGUUGCGAACGGGUGAGUAACGCGUAGGUAACCUGCCUGGUAGCGGGGGAUAACUAUUGGAAACGAUAGCUAAUACCGCAUAAUAUUAAUUAUUGCAUGAUAAUUGAUUGAAAGAUGCAAUUGCAUCACUACCAGAUGGACCUGCGUUGUAUUAGCUAGUAGGUGAGGUAACGGCUCACCCAGGCGACGAUACAUAGCCGACCUGAGAGGGUGAUCGGCCACACUGGGACUGAGACACGGCCCAGACUCCUACGGGAGGCAGCAGUAGGGAAUCUUCGGCAAUGGACGAAAGUCUGACCGAGCAACGCCGCGUGAGUGAAGAAGGUUUUCGGAUCGUAAAGCUCUGUUGUAAGAGAAGAACGGGUGUGAGAGUGGAAAGUUCACACUGUGACGGUAGCUUACCAGAAAGGGACGGCUAACUACGUG